CACGGGGAGGUAGUGACGAAAAAUAACAAUACAAGACUCACAUCCGAGGCCUUGUAAUUGGAAUGAGUACACUUUAAAUCCUUUAACAAGGAUCAAUUGGAGGGCAAGUCUGGUGCCAGCCGCCGCGGUAAUUCCAGCUCCAAUAGCGUAUAUUAAAGUUGUUGCGGUUAAAACGUUCGUAGUUGAACUUGUGCUCCGCACGGGCAGUACCAAGAACUAGGAAACUAGGACGGUAUUUUGUCUUAUCUUCCCAAUUUCAUUUUAUAUGGUUUUGGGAAAAGUGCGUGGGCGUAUUAUCGGCGUGUCUACUGCUAUUUAUAGUGGUGUCACAUAAGCUCACUUUAGUGCUCUUAACCGAGUGCUGAUUUGGGCCGAUACAAAUUACUUUGAACAAAUUAGAGUGCUUAAAGCAGGCUUGUAAUGCCUGAAUAUUUUGUGCAUGGAAUAAUGGAAUAGGACAUCUGUUCUACUUUCAUUGGUUUUUUAGACCAAGAUGUAAUGAUUAAUGGAAGCAGUUGGGGGCAUUAGUAUUACAACGCGAGAGGUGAAAUUCUUAGACCGUUGUAAGACUGACUAAAGCGAAAGCAUUUGCCAAAGAUGUUUUCAUUUAAUCAAGAACGAAAGUUAGAGGUUCGAAGGCGAUCAGAUACCGCCCUAGUUCUAACCAUAAACGAUGCCAGCUAGCAAUUGAAUGUAGCUACUACUAUGGCUCUUUCAGUCGCUUCUCGGGAAACCAAAGCUUUUGGGCUCCGGGGGAAGUAUGGUUGCAAAGCUGAAACUUAAAGGAAUUGACGGAAGGGCACCACCAGGAGUGGAGCCUGCGGCUUAAUUUGACUCAACACGGGAAAACUUACCAGGUCCGAACAUAAAUGAGUAAGACAGAUUGAUAGCUCUUUCUCGAAUCUAUGGGUGGUGGUGCAUGGC
rnacentral:rRNA from 1 species